UGGGGAAUUUUGGACAAUGGGCGAAAGCCUGAUCCAGCAAUGCCGCGUGUGUGAAGAAGGCCUUCGGGUUGUAAAGCACUUUUGUCCGGAAAGAAAUCCUCUGGGUUAAUACCUCGGGGGGAUGACGGUACCGGAAGAAUAAGCACCGGCUAACUACGUGCCAGCAGCCGCGGUAAUACGCAGGGUGCAAGCGUUAAUCGGAAUUACUGGGCGUAAAGCGUGCGCAGGCGGUUUUGUAAGACGGAUGUGAAAUCCCCGGGGCUUAACCUGGGAACUGCAUUCGUGACUGCAAGGCUAGAGUAUGGCAGAGGGGGGUAGAAUUCCACGUGUAGCAGUGAAAUGCGUAGAGAUGUGGAGGAAUUACCGAUGGCGAAGGCAGCCCCCUGGGCCAAUACUGACGCUCAUGCACGAAAGCGUGGGGAGCAAACAGGAUUAGGAUACCCUGGUAGUCCACGCCCUAAACGAUGUCAACUAGUUGUUGGGGAUUCAUUUCCUUAGUAACGUAGCUAACGCGUGAAGUUGACCGCCUGGGGAGUACGGUCGCAAGAUUAAAACUCGAAUGAAUUGACGGGG
rnacentral:rRNA from 1 species